CUUUUGGAGAGUUUGAUCCUGGCUCAGGACGAACGCUGGCGGCGUGCCUAAUACAUGCAAGUCGAGCGGACC
rnacentral:rRNA from 1 species